rnacentral:rRNA from 1 species
UAUGUUAAAAUUUACUUGUUUUUUUUAAUUUAAUCUUUGGAGAAAUAAAUUUUUGUUAAGUAAUUUUUUUUGAAAAAUAUUUUUUAGUAAUAGUUAAUUAGUACUGUGAAGGAACAUUUUAAAUAUCUUGAAAAGUUGUUAUUUUUAAAAGUAUAUUUUAUUUAUAUUACCUUUUGUAUCAGGGUUAAUUUAUUUUUUAUAACUUAUUUUGUUUUCUCGAUUUCAGAAGAGCUCUAAUAAUUUAUUUUGUUUUAUGUGUUAAAAUAAUUAAUAAUAUUUAUUAGAUGGGAAAUCCUAUUCGUUUAUAAAGGUAUCUAGUUUUUUAAGAAAUAAAUUUAAUUUAAUCCUAAAAUUUACUUUUUUCUUUUUGAUUUAUUUAUUUUUUAGGUUAAAUCUAAUAGGGGAUAAGCUCUAUUUUUUACUAAAAAAUUUUCUUUUUAUUAAUUUUAGUAGGACUAAAAUCAACCUUCUUUAAAAUUACGUUAUAGUUUAUUUUGUUUUAAUUUAAUUUUCUUUUUUUUAGUUUUCUAUUAAAAUGAUUUAUUUAACUUUAUUUUAAUUGUAAUAAUAAUUAAAUUAGUAUAUAAUAUUGUUUGUUAUUUAUUUAAGUUUUUAAUGUAAUUAAGGAACUCGGCAAAUCUARUUUUCGCCUGUUUAUCAAAAACAUGUCCUCAUGGUUUUAUUUGAGGUCUGGCCUGCCCGGUGAUUUUGUUUUAACGGCCGCGGUAUAUUGACCGUGCAAAGGUAGCAUAAUCAUUAGUCUUUUAAUAGAAGGCUGGAAUGAAAGGUUUAACGAAAAAUUGACUGUCUCAAUUAUAAUUUUGAACUUAACUUUUAAGUUAAAAGGCUUAAAUUUUAUUGUAGGACGAGAAGACCCUAUAGAGCUUUACACUUAACAAUUAUUAAUUUAAUUUAGUUUUAUAUUUUUAAUUUAUUUUUUGGAGUGUUCUGUUGGGGUGACAAAAAAUAUAUACUUAACUUUUAUUAUUAUAUUUUCAUUAAUUUAUGAUUAUUGGAUCCAAAAUUUUUGAUCAAUAGAAUAAGUUACCUUAGGGAUAACAGCGUAAUCUUCCUUCAGAGUUCAAAUUUACGGGAAGGAUUGCGACCUCGAUGUUGGAUUAAGAUAACAAUUAGGUGCAGUAGCUUAAUAUGUAGGUCUGUUCGAGCUUUAA